UAGGAUAUAGCAUAGUAAAAUGUUUUUUAUUUACACUGAAAAGAGGGUUGAUUAGACCUAUCCUAA